CGCCUUUUGUGUGGGUCAAAACUUUCACGACAAGAAUUUUCGCUGCCUUAGGACCCUUAUAGUUAUAGGAGCCAUUUAUUACCGCAAAAGCUAAGGCUCAUCCGUCAGUCUAAUUGUCAAGUCGAUCUUUGGUUUUGAAAUACUACCUGAUCGAUGGACUUAUUUUUUGCUUAAUAUUAGAUCGAUGUCAUCACGUGAAUCGAAAUACGUACAACGAUUAAGAAUGUUUUUAAAAACAAAACUCUAGCUAGCAAGCUAGGUAUAGCAGGAGAGAGAUGAAAUAUUGCUCGGAUAACCGAUAGCAGCUGCAGCAAACAAUUAAAGUACAUUUUCUGCAUUGUAUUUGAACAACAGAAAAAAGUUCUAGAUGAUGUUUAAAAAAGAAGAGAGGAGAUUUACCCGAUUGUAGCCGAGAUUAGAGAGUUGAUGAGGUACUUUAAUCAUCUGGGUUUGAGUCUAGUCACUUAAUCAGGCUCAAUACAAGCAAAGCUAGCCACUACUGACUUGAGUGCUGCUGUGACCAGUCACCAGUCCAUCGGUCGAAAGGGUUGC
rnacentral:lncRNA from 1 species